rnacentral:rRNA from 1 species
GAGACUCUGUGCGCGUGCAUAUCAAUAAGCGGAGGAAAAGAAACUAACAAGGAAUUCCCCUUAGUAACGGCGAGUGAAGCGGGAAGAGCUCAAAUUUGAAAUCUUCAAGGGUUCUACCUUUACGAAUUGUAGUUUAUAGAAGUGUUUUCUGUUAGUAGGAGUGGCAAAAGUUCUUUGGAAUAGGACAUCAUAGAGGGUGAGAAUCCCGUAUUUGGUCAUUCCUUCCUAGCUGUUGUGAUACACUUUCAACGAGUCGGAUUGUUUGGGAAUGCAGUCCAAAAUGGGUGGUAAAUUUCAUCUAAAGCUAAAUAUUGGCGAGAGACCGAUAGCGAACAAGUACCGUGAGGGAAAGAUGAAAAGAACUUUGAAAAGAGAGUUAAACAGUACGUGAAAUUGUCAAAAGGGAAGCGUUUGACACCAGUGUUGUUUUUCCGAAAAUCUAAUUACGAAUGUUUUGUUUUUGAGGAGUUAUGACCUCAUCGGCUUGCUUCUCUCUUUACUGAAACUUUCUUAACGCACUUUUCGGUUAACAAGUCAACAUCAAUUUCUUUUGUUGUAAAAGGGUACGAGGAAGGUGGCUUUCUUUUCGGAGAAAGUGUUUAUAGCCUUGUGCCUCUGCAAUCGGAGAGAUUGAGGUCUGCAGCGUAGAUCCUUCGGGGUUAGAUACAGUUUGCUGCUAAGUUAUAGCUUUUCAUAGACAACUUGUUGACUAUGUUUAGUCUUGUAGCUUACUCGCUUAUGCUAUUUUACCUACGCUUAGGAUGUUGACAGCAGUAUAGACUGU